GCAGUAGCCGCGGGAAUACGUAGGUCCCGAGCGUUGUCCGGAUUUAUUGGGCGUAAAGGGAGCGCAGGCGGUUUAGUAAGUCUGAAGUUAAAGGCAUUGGCUCAACCAGUGUAUGCUGUGGAAACUGUUAGACUUGAGUGCAGAAGGGGAGAGUGGAAUUCCAUGUGUAGCGGUGAAAUGCGUAGAUAUAUGGAGGAACACCGGUGGCGAAAGCGGCUCUCUGGCUUGUAACUGACGCUGAGGCUCGAAAGCGUGGGGAGCAAACAGGAUUAGAUACCCCCGUAGUCCCUGUAUCUUAUACA
rnacentral:rRNA from 1 species